AGAUAACGGGUCACAACAUCUAUUGCUAGGAAACAACAGACUAUUUCUCUACAAUGGAAAACAGCCUUUUAUCUGAGACUAUUUCCCAGUUGCAGAGGGAUUGGGAUUGUCUGCUGUAUGAGAAGAUAGAACGUGUGGUAAGUGGUACAAAAUUCUCUUUGGAUGUGCCAUCAGGAGUGUCUAAUACAUCAUGAAUUGUUUAU